GAAGUCAUGCCUUAAUAGAGCAGAAGCUGACCUUGUGGUUCGCGUACCUCUUUUUAGUGCAUAUGAUGACAUUACUUCCAGCAAUUUAGGAAACAAGGGGAACUUCAUGUUUGUGGAUUUUUCAUCAGAAACCAACAUGCUGGAGCAUUUGGAUGUUGAUUUUAUUUCUGAAGUUUUUAGUUCUUUGCAAGAAUUCAUUAA
rnacentral:misc_RNA from 1 species